rnacentral:rRNA from 1 species
UACGUAGGGUGCAAGCGUUGUCCGGAAUUAUUGGGCGUAAAGAGCUCGUAGGCGGUUUGUUGCGUCGGCUGUGAAAUCCCGAGGCUCAACCUCGGGUCGUGCAGUCGAUACGAGCAAACUAGAGUGUUGCAGGGGAGACUGGAAUUCCUGGUGUAGCGGUGAAAUGCGCAGAUAUCAGGAGGAACACCGGUGGCGAAGGCGGGUCUCUGGGCCGUAACUGACGCUGAGGAGCGAAAGCAUGGGGAGCGAACAGG